UACGUAGGGUGCAAGCGUUGUCCGGAAUUAUUGGGCGUAAAGAGCUCGUAGGCGGUCUGUCACGUCGGCUGUGAAAACCCGAGGCUCAACCUCGGGCCUGCAGUCGAUACGGGCAAACUAGAGUACUGCAGGGGAGACUGGAAUUCCUGGUGUAGCGGUGAAAUGCGCAGAUAUCAGGAGGAACACCGGUGGCGAAGGCGGGUCUCUGGGCAGUAACUGACGCUGGAGGAGCGAAAAGCCGUGGGGAGCGAACAGG
rnacentral:rRNA from 1 species